rnacentral:tRNA from 1 species
CAAAACGUAGCUUAAUUAAAGCAUCUUGCUUACACCAAGAACAUAUUUGUUAGACUCAAAUCGCUUUGA